GACGUAGGGCGCGAGCGUUGUCCGGAUUUAUUGGGCGUAAAGAGCUCGUAGGCGGCUUGUCGCGUCGUCCGUGAAAACCUGCAGCUCAACUGCAGGCUUGCGGUCGAUACGGGCAGGCUCGAGUUCGGUAGGGGAGACUGGAAUUCCUGGUGUAGCGGUGAAAUGCGCAGAUAUCAGGAGGAACACCGGUGGCGAAGGCGGGUCUCUGG
rnacentral:rRNA from 1 species